ACUUGACUCUCGUAUUGACG
rnacentral:misc_RNA from 1 species